CUCGACCUCAUGAAGCUGGAAUCGCUAGUAAUCGUAUAUCAGCAAUGAUACGGUGAAUACGUUCCCGGACCUUGUACACACCGCCCGUCAAGCCAUGAAAGCCGGGGGGACCUGAAGUCGGUAACCGCAAGGAGCCGCCUAGGGUAAAACCGGUAAUUGGGGCUAAGUCGUAACAAGGUAGCCGUAUCGGAAGGUGCGGCUGGAAUACCUCCUUUUUAGAGCUCAUU
rnacentral:rRNA from 1 species